rnacentral:rRNA from 1 species
CCUACGGGCGGCAGCAGUGGGGAAUAUUGGGCAAUGGGCGAAAGCCUGACCCAGCAACGCCGCGUGAAGGAAGAAGGCUUUCGGGUUGUAAACUUCUUUUGACAGGGACGAGCAGAAUAAGGUACCUGGCGAAUAAACCCCGGCUAACUACGUGCCAGGCGCCGCGGUAAUACGUAGGUGGCAAGCGUUUUCCGGGUUUACUGGGGGGAAAGGGCGUGUAGGCGGGCCGACAAGUCAGAUGUGAAAUCCCAGGGCUCAACCCGCGAACUGCAUUUGAAACUGUUGUUCUUGAGUACCGGAGAGGCAGACGGAAUUCCUAGUGUAGCGGUGAAAUGCGUAGAUAUUAGGAGGAACACCAGUGGCGAAGGCGGUCUGCUGGACGACAACUGACGGUGAGGCGCGAAAGCGUGGGGAGCAAACAGGAUUAGAUACCCGGGUAGUC